CGAUCAGUAAUGUGAAUUGCAGAAUUCAGUGAAUCAUCGAAUCUUUGAACGCACAUUGCGCCCGCCAGUAUUCUGGCGGGCAUGCCUGUCCGAGCGUCAUUUCAACCAUCAAGCCCCCGGGCUUGUGUUGGGGACCUGCGGCUGCCCGCAGGCCCUGAAAACCAGUGGCGGGCUCGCUGUCACACCGAGCGUAGUAGCAAUCACCUCGCUCAGGGCGUGCUGCGGGUUCCGGCCGUUAAACAGCCUUACAAAACCCAAGGUUGACCUCGGAUCAGGUAGGAAGACCCGCUGAACUUAAGC
rnacentral:misc_RNA from 1 species